AUUGAACGCUGACGGCAGGCCUAACACAUGCAAGUCGAGCGGAUGAAGGGAGCUUGCUCCUGGAUUCAGCGGCGGACGGGUGAGUAAUGCCUAGGAAUCUGCCUGGUAGUGGGGGAUAACGUCCGGAAACGGGCGCUAAUACCGCAUACGUCCUGAGGGAGAAAGUGGGGGAUCUUCGGACCUCACGCUAUCAGAUGAGCCUAGGUCGGAUUAGCUAGUUGGUGGGGUAAAGGCCUACCAAGGCGACGAUCCGUAACUGGUCUGAGAGGAUGAUCAGUCACACUGGAACUGAGACACGGUCCAGACUCCUACGGGAGGCAGCAGUGGGGAAUAUUGGACAAUGGGCGAAAGCCUGAUCCAGCCAUGCCGCGUGUGUGAAGAAGGUCUUCGGAUUGUAAAGCACUUUAAGUUGGGAGGAAGGGCAGUAAGUUAAUACCUUGCUGUUUUGACGUUAUCAACAGAAUAAGCACCGGCUAACUUCGUG
rnacentral:rRNA from 1 species